CAGAAAUUCUCUUCUUCCUCUGUUCUUCUUUGUCUAUUCAUUUCACUACUUCUACUUACUCUCUUAAAAGCUCUAAGUCAUUGAUACUUAGAGAAAUAACAACCUCUACUACAGUAUUCUCUUGUCAGUUUUUGUGGAAUGGAAAAGAGUUAAGUUUUAAUGUAUUUGACAAUGAUAGAUAUUGCAUUUCAUGGAAUCUAUGUUCUUCCAGAGCCUACUACCAAGUACCAAAUGUCAAUGGCAAGUGCAGGCGGAUGCUAUCUAUUUUGGUUAUUAUGAUAAAGAGUUCUGGUAAACUUGUACUUAAACAGUACCUUGCUUGGUAAAAUUGUAAUUAAUAUUGAUAUGCUUUAGCAAAUCUGAAUAUAUGGUUAUAUACAUUUUA
rnacentral:lncRNA from 1 species